GUGUCAGCAGCCGCGGUAAUACGUAGGUGACAAGCGUUAUCCGGAAUUAUUGGGCGUAAAGCGCACGCAAGCGGUUUUGCAAGUCUGACGUGAAAUCUCCUGGCUUAACUGGGAGCGGUCGUUGGAAACUGCAGAGCUUGAGGCGAUGAGAGGGGUGCAGAAUUCCCGGUGUAGUGGUGGAAUGCGUAGAGAUCGGGGGGAAUACCUGUGGCGAAAGCGGCACCCUGGCGUCGUUCUGACGCUCAUGUGCGAAAGCGUGGGGAGCGAACGGGAUUAGAAACCCCAGUAGUCC
rnacentral:rRNA from 1 species